rnacentral:rRNA from 1 species
CGCCAGACUCCUACGGGAGGCAGCAGUGGGGAAUAUUGCACAAUGGGGGGAACCCUGAUGCAGCGACGCCGCGUGGGUGAAGGAGCACCUCGGUGCGUAAAGCCCUAUCGGCAGGGAAGAAAAGCGAACAGGUUCGCCUGGACGGUACCUGACUAAGAAGCCCCGGCUAACUACGUGCCAGCAGCCGCGGUAAUACGUAGGGGGCAAGCGUUAUCCGGAUUCACUGGGUGUAAAGGGCGCGUAGGUGGGCGCUUAAGUCAGGUGUGAAAACUCCGGGCUCAACCUGGAGACUGCACUUGAAACUGGGUGUCUUGAGGGCAGGAGAGGAAAGUGGAAUUCCUAGUGUAGCGGUGAAAUGCGUAGAUAUUAGGAGGAACACCAGUGGCGAAGGCGACUUUCUGGACUGUACCUGACGCUGAGGCGCGAAAGCGUGGGUAGCGAACGGGAUUAGAUACCCGUGUA